rnacentral:tRNA from 1 species
GGAGGGGUGGCCGAGCGGUUGAUGGCGGCGGUCUUGAAAACCGCUAUCCCCCUUGGGGAUCGUGGGUUCGAAUCCCACCCCCUCCG